CAAGCUAGCGGCGGGAUGGGGUGGAGUAAACGCGUGGGUAAACCUGCCCUUAAAGUCUGGGAUACCAUUUGGAAACAGAUGCUAAUACCGGAUAAAAGCACUUUCGCAUGAAAGAAGUUUAAAAGGCGGCGUAAGCUGUCGCUAAAAGGAUGGGACCUGCGAUGCAUUAGCUAGUUGGUAAGGUAACGGCUUACCAAGGCGAUGAUGCAUAGCCCGAGUUGAGAGACUGAUCGGCCACAUUGGGGACUGAGACACGGCCCAAACUCCUGCGGGAGGCAGCAGUAGGGAAUCUUCCACAAUGGACGCAAGUCUGAUGGAGCAACGCCGCGUGAGUGAAGAAGGUUUUCGGAUCGUAAAGCUCUGUUGUUGGUGAAGAAGGAUAGAGGUAGUAACUGGCCUUUAUUUGACGGUAAUCAACCAGAAAGUCACGGCUAACUACGUGCCAGCAGCCGCGGUAAU
rnacentral:rRNA from 1 species